rnacentral:lncRNA from 1 species
CCCACACAGACCUCCAGUCAGAACCAAGGGGGAGCCGGCCCCGCCUCCCGGGAAAGCAGGGGAGAAGUCAAUAAAGAAGCCAGCCCCGCCCCCAGCCCCACCACAGGCCACCAAAACUACUGCACCUGCUCCUGAGCCUGCCAAGCCUGGAGAUCUCCGAGAAGCCAGGAGAAAGGAACGGCAAACCAGGACUCCCCCAAGGAGGCGGACGCUCAGCGGCAGUGGCAGCGGCAGUGGUAGCAGCUACAGUGGCUCCAGUUCCCGAUCCAGGUCACUUGCUUGGUCCUACUCCCUAUUGACCUUUUCCCUCCCUCACCAGGUGGGCUGACCAUGUCCGGGGCUCUUCAGUGUCCAAGAACACAGCUCAGGGUGACCAUGGCCUCCCUCCCUUCACACAGGAGCACCUUCCUAACCUGAAGGGAAGAGCCCUAGACUGGUCCUUCUACCCAGCUGGACAAAGCUGAGGCCGGUCCCAGGUUCUCUGCCCACAGAGAACUGAGGAGAGACUGGGUGUUCUCUGGGCCUGCCGCUCCCUAGUGGAGGGAGUCAGCCCUGAAGUAGUUGGGAGGAGAGAGUUAAAAGAAAGAGUUAGAAGGUGGAGUCAGCUUGGUGCUUUUGGAAUCUGGUUGAUCAUUUUUCCUUCUAUCCUUGAGCAUCAGGGCCUUAGCUUUUGUCCAAGGCUUUAGCAGUCUAGACUUUCAAAGACCUGUGGGGCUUUUAUUUGUUGGCUUUUUGAGACAAGGUGCCCAAACUCGCUCUGUAGACUAGGCUGACCUGGAACUCAUGGAGAUCCACCUGCCUCUGCCUCCCAAGUUCUGGGAUUAAAGGUGUGUGCCACCAUGAACCCUUGGUUCUGUCUCUCCCUGUCUCUGUUCCUCUGUUCUGUCUCCUGAUGACCUUAGAAGAAGCUGGUUGGUGUUUGUGAUAGACACGUCAUGGCUCUGCUGGUCAAAACUGUAUCACCAUCUACUCUCCCCAUCCCACUCCACCCCUGUGCCUUGUAGAGAGUAGAAAGUGUCUUAGCAGUCACACUAAAGGGGAAACCCAGGGCCUUGCGUUCUGUUCAAGUGCCCUAUCACUGAGCUGCAGGCUCUUGGUUUUGGUUUGAA